GCACUGGUGGUUCAGUGGUAGAAAUCUCUCCUUCCUUGUAGGAGACCUGAGUUCAAUUCCCAGCCAAUGCG
rnacentral:tRNA from 1 species